UACGGGGGGAGCAAGCGUUGUUCGGAUUUACUGGGCGUAAAGCGCACGUAGGCGGUUUGUUAAGUCAGGGGUGAAAUCCCACAGCUCAACUGUGGAACUGCCUUUGAUACUGGCAAGCUAGAGUCCGGAAGAGGUAAGUGGAACUCCUAGUGUAGAGGUGGAAUUCGUAGAUAUUAGGAAGAACACCAGUGGCGAAGGCGGCUUACUGGUCCGGAACUGACGCUGAGGUGCGAAAGCGUGGGGAGCAAACAGG
rnacentral:rRNA from 1 species